UGGGGAAUCUUGCACAAUGGGCGAAAGCCUGAUGCAGCGACGCCGCGUGCGGGAUGAAGGCCUUCGGGUUGUAAACCGCUUUCAGCAGGGACGAGGCCGCAAGGUGACGGUACCUGCAGAAGAAGCCCCGGCUAACUACGUGCCAGCAGCCGCGGUAAUACGUAGGGGGCAAGCGUUAUCCGGAUUCAUUGGGCGUAAAGCGCGCGUAGGCGGUUUGUUAGGUCAGGAGUUAAAUCUGGGGGCUCAACCCCUAUCCGCUCCUGAUACCGGUAGGCUUUAGUCUUGUAAGGGAAGGCGGAAUUCCAAGUGUAGCGGUGAAAUGCGCAGAUAUUUGGAAGAAACCCGGUUGCGAAGGCGGCCUUCUUGGCCACGACUGGCGCUGAAGCGCGAAAGCUAGGGGAGCGAACAGG
rnacentral:rRNA from 1 species